GAGAGUAUAGCUUGGUGGUAGAGUGUGUGCUUAGCAUGCACAAGGUCCUGGGUUCAGUCCCCAGUACCUCCG
rnacentral:tRNA from 1 species